UACGGAGGGAGCUAGCGUUGUUCGGAAUUACUGGGCGUAAAGCGCGCGUAGGCGGCUUUGUAAGUUAGAGGUGAAAGCCCGGGGCUCAACCCCGGAAUUGCCUUUAAGACUGCAUCGCUUGAAUCCGGGAGAGGUGAGUGGAAUUCCGAGUGUAGAGGUGAAAUUCGUAGAUAUUCGGAAGAACACCAGUGGCGAAGGCGGCUCACUGGCCCGGUACUGACGCUGAGGCACGAAAGCGUGGGGAGCAAACAGG
rnacentral:rRNA from 1 species